UAAUUCUUUUAUUAUUUAUUUAUUAAUUAAUUUUUAGUUAAUAAUUUUUAGUAAAAAAUAUUUAAAGGGAUGAUCUUUUAUUUAUAAUAUUAAAAAUUUAAUUUAUUUUAUAAUUAUUGUAUAAUUUGAAUUGUUAAUCAUAUAAAUAAUUUAAUAAUUAAUUUUAUUUAUUUUAAUAUUUAUAUUUAUUUUAAUUUUUAUAUUAAAAAAAAAAGUUUAAUUUUAUUUCUUUUGUUAUAAUGAUUAAAUUAGUAGAUUAUUUUGUAUUAAAAGUUUAUUUUAAAUAAGGUAAUUAAAAGGAACUCGGCAAAUUAAUUUUUCGCCUGUUUAUUAAAAACAUGUCUUUUUGAUUAUAAUUUAAGGUUUAAUCUGCUCAAUGAUUAUUUAAAUUGCUGCAGUAUUUUGACUGUGCAAAGGUAGCAUAAUAAUUAGUUUCUUUAUUGGAAACUGGAAUGAAUGAUUGGACGAGAAAAUUUCUGUCUCUUUAUUAUUUAAAUUGAAUUUUACUUUUAAGUUAAAAGGCUUAAAUUUUAUUAAAGGACGAGAAGACCCUAUAGAGUUUAAUUUUUAUUUGAUUAAUCGUUAUUAGUAUUUAUAUUUAUUAUUUAAAUAAAAAUUUAGUUGGGGUGACUUAAAGAUAUAAAUAACUCUUUUAAAUUUUUAUCAAUUAUUUUUGAUUAUAAAAUCUUUGUUUUUAAUUUUAAAAUAAAUUACCUUAGGGAUAACAGCGUAAUUCUUUUUAAAAGUUCACAUUGAAAGAAGAGUUUGCGACCUCGAUGUUGGAUUAAAAUUAAUUUUAGGUGUAGAAGCUUGAAUAUUAAGUCUGUUCGA
rnacentral:rRNA from 1 species